GAGAGUUAAACAGUACGUGAAAUUGUUGAAAGGGAAACGAUUAAAGUCAGUCGUACCUACGAGUAAUCAACCUACACGAGCGCGAUUUUGUGGGUAUGAAGAGGUAAAAACCUUCAUGGUUGCUAAUUGGUGUUCUUUGGGCGUACUUUCUCGUAUGGUUGGUUAACAUCAAUUUCGAUCGUUAUAAAAUGACGGGAGGAAUGUAGCUUCGACUUCGGUUGAAGUGUUAUAGCCUCUGGUAGAUGUAAUGAUUGGGAUUGAGGAUUGCAACGGAUACCCUCUGGGCUAUUCGUCUGAUCUCUGGAAGUUACCUUGGUGUCGAAAGCGUGCUUAUGACAUUAAGAAUGACGGCCAAAAGGUUAGAACGGAAUUAAAUUCGUUAAGGAUGUUGACGUAAUGGCUUUAAACGA
rnacentral:rRNA from 1 species